CGCUGGCGGCGUGCCUAAUACAUGCAAGUCAACGGUCUUUUCUAUGGAAGCUUGCUUCCACUGAGAAGAUAGUGGCGAACGGGUGAGUAACACGUGGGUAACCUGCCCAUAAGAGGGGGAUAACAUCCGGAAACGGGUGCUAAUACCGCAUAGUUUUCUUGAUCGCAUGAUCGGGAAGGAAAGACGGCCUUUGUGCUGUCGCUUAUGGAUGGACCCGCGGCGUAUUAGUUAGUUGGUGAGGUAACGGCUCACCAAGACGAUGAUACGUAGCCGACCUGAGAGGGUGAUCGGCCACAUUGGGACUGAGACACGGCCCAAACUCCUACGGGAGGCAGCAGUAGGGAAUCUUCCGCAAUGGACGAAAGUCUGACGGAGCAACGCCGCGUGAGUGAAGAAAGGGUUUUCGGAUCGUAAAACUCUGUUGUCAGAGAAGAACAAGUUGGAGAGUAACUGCUCCAGCCUUGACGGUAUCUGACCAGAAAGCCACGGCUAACUACGUGCCAGCCGCAGC
rnacentral:rRNA from 1 species